UACGUAGGUCCCGAGCGUUAUCCGGAAUUACUGGGCGUAAAGAGUUCGUAGGCGGUACGUUAAGUUCGGCAUGAAAGACCGGGGCUCAACCCCGAGUUUGUGCCGGAUACUGGCGAACUAGAAUCCGGGAGAGGUUGGCAGAAUGGUACGAGUAGGGGUGCAAUCCGUUGAUACGUACUGGAAUACCAAAAGCGAAGGCAGCCAACUGGAACGGUAUUGACGCUGAGGAACGAAAGCGUGGGGAGCGAAAAGG
rnacentral:rRNA from 1 species